UAAUGGCGGUGUUAUCCAGUAUGUGUCAAUUUUCUCAUAAUUACGGUGGCGUGUUUUCCCUUUAAUUGAUAAGUAUUGAUAUCGAUUUGAUGUCAUUGUGAAAUAGGAGUCGACUUGUACGCACGAAAUUAAAUCCCCAUGUUAUUUCUGUAUACGAGUAUGAAUGUAUAAAUGGAAAGAAAGAAAGAAAAUAUGCUCUGCCGCUGGGUGCGUGUCAUCCAGUGGGCAAACAGAAAGGAAAUUCUUCCACUUUCCCUGGGAUUAAGCACGGAGGGUGCUGCAGUGAAUACUUGGCAACAGCUGCAUUUCUUGAGGAGGUUGACAACCUUUCUGAUAGUUUCAAUGGUGAAAUGAGUGUUGACCCAGGGAAAACACUGCGUUGCCCACUCAGCGAUUACAGUCCCCAUAUAGAUCAUUGGAAAAAGGCAAAUAUGGGGAUAAAUAGUUGGAUCUUCCUCAGUGAUGGUAAACUCACAUUUCUUCAUCCUCCUCCUUCACAGAAUUGAUGGCUAGUUAACAUUAUUGCUGCCCAACAUGUUUGGAAGACAGUGAAAAAGCUUACCUUUGCCAUAGUUGUCCUCGAGGUCAUGAUAUUCAUCAAGGCUCCGGAUGGUGUUGGUCCUGUUGUCAAGUCCUGCAAAGGC